rnacentral:rRNA from 1 species
AACGAACGCUGGCGGCAGGCCUAACACAUGCAAGUCGAGCGUCCUUUCGGGGGAGCGGCGGACGGGUGAGUAACGCGUGGGAAUAUGCCCUUCUCUACGGAAUAGCCUCGGGAAACUGAGAGUAAUACCGUAUACGCCCUUUGGGGGAAAGAUUUAUCGGGGAAGGAUUAGCCCGCGUUGGAUUAGGUAGUUGGUGGGGUAAUGGCCUACCAAGCCGACGAUCCAUAGCUGGUUUGAGAGGAUGAGCAGCCACACUGGGACUGAGACACGGCCCAGACUCCUACGGGAGGCAGCAGUGGGGAAUCUUAGACAAUGGGGGCAACCCUGAUCUAGCCAUGCCGCGUGAGUGAUGAAGGCCUUAGGGUUGUAAAGCUCUUUCAGCUGGGAAGAUAAUGACGGUACCAGCAGAAGAAGCCCCGGCUAACUCCGUG